UAAAAAAAAAAACAAAGCUGUUAAACUGAUUAGGCUAUUUGAUAUUAAAUUAUGUGAGAAGCAUUCUCAAAAGGAAAUAAUACUAAGUCUUCUUUAUGUUGUAUUUAUGUAGGUAUAGGUUAUAAAUGUUACAGAAAAAAUGAAACUCCUGGAAAUCUGACAUGUCCUAAUAUUAUGUUAUUAGUCAUAAUUCCCAUUAUUACCUUAAAAUAUUGUGUGUCAUAACCAAUUUUCAUGUCAGCUGCAUUAUAAUGUACUGUCAUCAGAGCUUUAACCAUGGACAUUUUUAAGUUUCUAUCAUGUACAAUUACUGUUUUACUCUGAUGCUUUUGCAAAUGUGGGACUCAUGGAAAAGACCCUACCAACAACUGAUGCCAAUGCAGAUUACAAGAUGUUGAACUUUGGGUGUGUAUUUCACAACUUAAGACGGUUCCCAUGGACAUCUGGUCCUGUGCAAAUACUGGAGACCUUGAAAUCAAAUUGACUAGGAAGAGAAGUAGCAGACAUCAAGGUAGAUUGCUUCUAUUCAAGAUGUCAGAUCAAGACUUCUCACUAUAACUAAACAUGAAAUUCUCUCUUCUCUUUCUUCCUUUACUUUGGUACUAGUCUGGGGAAAGAUAAUGCCAUCAUCUGUACCUCCCAGGCCAUUCUUAAUAAACUACAAUAGAUCUCCUUAGAAGUUACUUACUGAGUCUGACUUUUAUGGCCAGAACAUCCACUGCCUUGUUUUUACUCUUCUCUGAUUAUCACUAUACUUGCCCAAUUAGACACAAAUGCCUAUGCAAACUGUAGUAUAUUUAUACCCAUGUUCUUAUGAUUACCUAAAUCACAUCUGCCCCCAAUUAUGAAAAAGAUCUCACCAACAGUACUCACCUGUGCAAGGCAUUUAGAACAACUCUUUACUUCAAACUAGAUUUAUGGAAAACCUAAGUCUGUCUCUUAUACCCAU